CAACAUGAUUGAAUAUGAAAUC
rnacentral:snRNA from 1 species